rnacentral:rRNA from 1 species
GGGGAUAACUACUGGAAACGGUAGCUAAUACCGCAUAACGUCGCAAGACCAAAGAGGGGGACCUUCGGGCCUCUUGCCAUCGGAUGUGCCCAGAUGGGAUUAGCUUGUAGGUGAGGUAACGGCUCACCUAGGCGACGAUCCCUAGCUGGUCUGAGAGGAUGACCAGCCACACUGGAACUGAGACACAGUCCAGACUCCUACGGGAGGCAGCAGUGGGGAAUAUUGCACAAUGGGCGCAAGCCUGAUGCAGCCAUGCCGCGUGUAUGAAGAAGGCCUUCGGGUUGUAAAGUACUUUCAGCGGGGAGGAAGGGAGUGAGGUUAAUAACCUUAUUCAUUGACGUUACCCGCAGAAGAAGCACCGGCUAACUCCGUGCCAGCAGCCGCGGUAACACGGAGGGUGCAAGCGUUAAUCGGAAUUACUGGGCGUAAAGCGCACGCAGGCGGUCUGUCAAGUCGGAUGUGAAAUCCCCGGGCUCAACCUGGGAACUGCAUUCGAAACUGGCAGGCUGGAGUCUUGUAGAGGGGGGUAGAAUUCCAGGUGUAGCGGUGAAAUGCGUAGAGAUCUGGAGGAAUACCGGUGGCGAAGGCGGCCCCCUGGACAAAGACUGACGCUCAGGUGCGAAAGCGUGGGGAGCAAACAGGAUUAGAUACCCUGGUAGUCCACGCUGUAAACGACGUCGACGUGGAGGUUGUUCCCUUGAGGAGUGGCUUCCGGAG